UGUGGCACACUUCGCAGUAUAAUCCAAGAUGGCGGCCAAUGUGAAAUUUUAAGGAUUUACAGUUAGUGCAUGGAAUUUCAAGAUAUAGCCGCUAGUUGCCGCUAGUAAGUAAUGACUUCGUCAGGCGAGCAUAAGAGGGGAAAGAUGGGCAUCAAAUUGAUACAAAGAAGCAAGGGAAAGUUACUUUCUUCGCAUCGGCAUAUGCAGCAGCAGGAAAAUAAUGAAAGAUC